GAGAAUUUAUUUAUUUUCAUACCCUGUGGAUAACAUAUAUAUUAAGUCAUACAUAAGAGUAUGCUUAAUAUAAUACAGUGUGCAUAUGGUGGUAUCUCUCCCCAUCUGAGUCUUUCCAGGUGCUGUAUAGAUCAUAGUAUACAGGUAAGUAUGAAUAUAGUAUCUCACGUGUAUAGUGUGUGAAUAUAGUAUCUCACGUGUAUAGUGUGUGAAUAUAGUAUCUCACGUGUAUAGUGUGUAUAGUAGCACGUCUGCCGUAGUUAAAGCCUAGGGAGCAUAUGGCGACAUAACCCAUCAAUUCUUAACUAACCAAAAAGGUUUAACACUGAAACCAGAAAAUAGCAGAGUGACCUUGAGUUAGAUUAGGCUUUAAAAAAAACCCCUGUUUAAACCCCGCAUCAACAAAACUAAUUAAACUCAUGGAACGUCUCUCGGCCAAUCAGAAACAAAUAAAUAGUUCCAUAGAACCCAAUUGUUGUAUAAAGGAAAAUAAACACCCACACAGCCUCUGGCACAUGUUGCAUCUCCACCCACAGGUAUACACAGUCAACACACAACACAGUUACAAGUCCCAAUGACCACAAAUCCGCGUCUUAAUGGCACCAAGAGCCGCCUGUAUGACAUCUGAGGGUUUUUAAAGGUUGCCCAAUCAGGAACCCCCACUUCCAGCCAAUCAGGAUUAGGUGGGACCUGGACACAAAGGAGAGCAGAACAGUAGAACACUCAAACACGCCACAGCUGUAACUGUAGCAACUGUCAUUGAUGAAGAAUGACAGAAGAAAGAUGGGAGAAGAAUGUGGGAUAUUUUAACCCAUUGCUGAAUAUCGAUAAAUCUACAUCUGGCCUUCCGGAGAGCAGCCGCCUUUGUUGGCUUGUCUUUUCACCAGGAAGAUAUACUGUAGCGCCUGUCUGUGCCGCCAUAAGCCCCUUCUACGGAAACCCGGCUCUGUUAUGACAAGCCUGCGUCUCGCCAGCUCUUCACACAGAGAGGGGAAUAAAAGGAGAACAGGUUCUCACUGACGCCACUGACAUAACUGUAAUUACCUGGCCAUGGAAGACACCGCUCAAGAUGUCGCGCCGUGGAAAAGCGAAACAAAUCCUCCUUUCUUCACUCGAUAGACAGAAGUUCUCCACUAGACUGAUACAAGAAAAUGUCCAUUUUUUCUGUUUUUCACAUAUUAUGAAAGUGAUUUUGUUUUGUUUUCUCUUGUUUAUUUUACUUACUACAUGUUUCAACCCCCUUUGUCUUUACUGGCAACAAAUUCUUUUGCUUGUCUACAUUUUCAACUUGUUGAGACUCCAAUCCUCAUGUUCAAAGGUGAGAAGAUAGUAAAUGCCAAGCUGUUUACACUGAUGAUAUACACAGUAGUGCCAUCCCUGAUAGGUUAAAUG